rnacentral:rRNA from 1 species
UACGUAGGGGGCAAGCGUUGUCCGGAUUUAUUGGGCGUAAAGAGCGUGUAGGCGGUCAGGUAGGUCCGUUGUGAAAACUCGAGGCUCAACCUCGAGACGCCGAUGGAAACCGUCUGGCUAGAGUCCGGAAGAGGAGAGUGGAAUUCCUGGUGUAGCGGUGAAAUGCGCAGAUAUCAGGAAGAACACCCGUGGCUAAGGCGGCUCUCUAGUACGGUACUGACGCUGAGACGCGAAAGCGUGGGGAGCGAACAGG